CUAAUAAUCAAAAAUAUUGAAAAAAAAAUCAAUCAAAAACAGAAUUAACGUCGCAAGUCAAACGGCGCACGAGAUGCAUAUGGGAGGUCAUUAACCAAUUUCCUAAAUGUAGACCGGGGAGUAGCAAACAAGUCUAAAUCAGAACAAAAAUUAUUAAAAGAAAACAUGAGACGAGGGACCACGGAGUUAGAAAACGCAUUUGUAUUGGUACAAGGCACGUAGAAUACCGAUAAAUCACGGGAUGGUCGAACAGGAAUCCUAAACUGUAACUGAGAUAGAAUCGCGGAGCAGUCAACAGUGCCGUUACUCACUUUAUAAAGCAGCAUUAAAUCGUUACUAAUGCGCCUGGAAGAGAGUUGAGGGACUCCAAAUAUUAAGCAUCGCUGUGCGUAAUCACAGUAUGUCGAUCAAUGUAUAUAUGGUAUUGAGGGUUCCAAACAGAAGAUGCAUAGUUAAGGAUAGAAGAAACGAAGGCGAAGUAAAGAGAACGAAUACAGGAUAAGUUAGUAAAAGGACGGGAGACACGACAAAUAAAUCCGAACAUGCGAGAGGCCUUAUUAACAAUAAAAUCGAUAUGAGCUGAAAACGCAAGUUUAGAAUCAAAGAGAACCCCAAGAUCUCGAACACAAUCAGAUGGUAUAAGAGUAUUAGGGCCGAGGGAAUAAUCGAAAACAAUGGGAUAGCGUUUGCGUGUAAAUGUAAUUUUCGUGCAUUUAUCGUGAUUGAUGAAAAGAUUGUUGUUUACACAAUAAGCCUGUAAUCGGACCAAGUCCUCCUGCAAUUUUUCGCAGUCGUCAGGUGAACAAAUCGUGGUAAAUAUUUUGCUAUCGUCAGCGUAUAGCAGAAACUUGGAGUAAUGAAAACACGCAUGAAUGUCAUUGAUAUAUAGCAGAAACAACAACGGUCCCAAAUGACUGCCUUGCGCCACACCGGAAGUUAUCUCUUUGAAGGAAGAGCGAUAGCCAUUAAUGGUAACAGCUUGUGAUCUGCUAGAGA
rnacentral:lncRNA from 1 species